rnacentral:rRNA from 1 species
CACGUAGGGUGCGAGCGUUGCCCGGAAUUAUUGGGCGUAAAGAGCUCGUAGGCGGUGUGUCGCGUCGGCCGUGAAAACCUGCAGCUUAACUGUGGGCGUGCGGUCGAUACGGGCAUCACUGGAGUUCGGCAGGGGAGACUGGAAUUCCUGGUGUAGCGGUGAAAUGCGCAGAUAUCAGGAGGAACACCGGUGGCGAAGGCGGGUCUCUGGGCCGAUACUGACGCUGAGGAGCGAAAGCGUGGGGAGCAAACAGG